AUUGAACGCUGGCGGCAUGCCUUACACAUGCAAGUCGAACGGCAGCACGGGGGCAACCCUGGUGGCGAGUGGCGAACGGGUGAGUAAUAUAUCGGAACGUACCCUGGAGUGGGGGAUAACGUAGCGAAAGUUACGCUAAUACCGCAUACGAUCUAAGGAUGAAAGUGGGGGAUCGCAAGACCUCAUGCUCCUGGAGCGGCCGAUAUCUGAUUAGCUAGUUGGUGGGGUAAAGGCCUACCAAGGCAUCGAUCAGUAGCUGGUCUGAGAGGACGACCAGCCACACUGGGACUGAGACACGGCCCAGACUCCUACGGAGGCAGCAGUGGGGAAUUUUGGACAAUGGGGGCAACCCUGAUCCAGCAAUGCCGCGUGAGUGAAGAAGGCCUUCGGGUUGGUAAAACUACGUUUCACCUGUGACGAUGA
rnacentral:rRNA from 1 species